rnacentral:rRNA from 1 species
GACGAACGCUGGCGGCGUGCUUAACACACGCAAGUCGAACGCUGAACCCGCUUCGGUGGGGGAUGAGUGGCGAACGGGUGAGUAACACGUGGGCAACCUGCCCCCGGCUCUGGGAUAACUCCAAGAAAUUGGGGCUAAUACCGGAUGUGACCGCUGGCCGCAUGGUCUGGUGGUGGAAAGGGUUUCCGGCUGGGGAUGGGCCCGCGGCCUAUCAGCUUGUUGGUGGGGUAGUGGCCUACCAAGGCGACGACGGGUAGCCGGCCUGAGAGGGUGACCGGCCACACUGGGACUGAGACACGGCCCAGACUCCUACGGGAGGCAGCAGUGGGGAAUAUUGCGCAAUGGGCGGAAGCCUGACGCAGCGACGCCGCGUGGGGGAUGACGGCCUUCGGGUUGUAAACCUCUUUCAGCAGGGACGAAGCGCAAGUGACGGUACCUGCAGAAGAAGCACCGGCCAACUACGUG